UCAUGGAUGGUGUUAGUCUGGUAGCACGCGCGGAUGUGGACCGCGAAGCAUAGGUUCAAAUCCUAUUCCAUGGA
rnacentral:tRNA from 1 species